rnacentral:lncRNA from 1 species
GGGCGCUCGGAGGGACGGCAGGCUGGGGUCCCGUCCAGGCUGCAGGGGUCCCUGUUCCUCCGAAGCCCAGAGCCAGGUGGACACGGCGGCAUGGACCAGCCAGGGCCGGCGGCUCCCGGUUCAGAAGAGAAUGAAGUGAAGUGUGACGCCAACAACAACGAGGAGGAGGAAGGAGAACAGCUGGAUCUUGACAGUGGAGAUGAAAUUCCGGAAGCAGACAGACAAGUGCCAGGCGCCCCUGGGGUGGGGGACGCGGGAGCAGACACCCUCAGCCCCGCCACCACUGCUGCCCCCGCCCCCGCCACCUGCACCACCCACGCCACCCCCGGGUCAGGUACGUCUGCCGGUGCCCCCCAGAGGCCGGCGGCCCACCUGCGGGUAGAGCGUCCUGGGGAAAGU